rnacentral:lncRNA from 1 species
AACAAACUCACUCUCCCAUUGAUGGGAUCUGCUUCUUCUUCAGAGAAGAGAGCUAAAAUUCAUGGCUGCUUCCUAGUCAAAACUACCGCAUCCCUUCACAUUUCUUUGACUCCUUCCCUCAUUCCUGUCAUAGAGCACACAAGCACAAUCAGAUGAAAAUAGAACAACGAUGAGAGAGCUAGAAAUUUUGUUUCAAAGCAUGGAGUUCAAUCGAGGUUGAGGUGUUGUUCUCAAUGCAUUUCUUGUUCCCGUCGAGUCUGAUU